UACGGGGGGGGGGGCAAGCGUUGUUCGGAAUUACUGGGCGUAAAGGGCUCGUAGGUGGCCAACUAAGUCAGACGUGAAAUCCCUCAGCUUAACUGGGGAACUGCGUCUGAUACUGGAUGGCUUGAGUUUGGGAGAGGGAUGCGGAAUUCCAGGUGUAGCGGUGAAAUGCGUAGAUAUCUGGAGGAACACCGGUGGCGAAGGCGGCAUCCUGGACCAACACUGACACUGAGGAGCGAAAGCCAGGGGAGCAAACGGGG
rnacentral:rRNA from 1 species